rnacentral:rRNA from 1 species
GAUGAACGCUGACAGAAUGCUUAACACAUGCAAGUCAACUUGAACUUCGGUUUGGGUGGCGGACGGGUGAGUAACGCGUAAAGAACUUGCCUCACAGAUAGGGACAACAUUUGGAAACGAAUGCUAAUACCUGAUAUUAUGAUUUUAGGGCAUCCUAGAAUUAUGAAAGCUAUAUGCACUGUGAGAGAGCUUUGCGUCCCAUUAGCUAGUUGGAGAGGUAACGGCUCACCAAGGCGAUGAUGGGUAGCCGGCCUGAGAGGGUGAUCGGCCACAAGGGGACUGAGACACGGCCCUUACUCCUACGGGAGGCAGCAGUGGGGAAUAUUGGACAAUGGACCAAGAGUCUGAUCCAGCAAUUCUGUGUGCACGAUGAAGUUUUUCGGAAUGUAAAGUGCUUUCAGUUGGGAAGAAAAAAAUGACGGUACCAACAGAAGAAGUGACGGCUAAAUACGUGCCAGCAGCCGCGGUAAUACGUAUGUCACAAGCGUUAUCCGGAUUUAUUGGGCGUAAAGCGCGUCUAGGUGGUUAUGUAAGUCUGAUGUGAAAAUGCAGGGCUCAACUCUGUAUUGCGUUGGAAACUGUGUAACUAGAGUACUGGAGAGGUAAGCGGAACUACAAGUGUAGAGGUGAAAUUCGUAGAUAUUUGUAGGAAUGCCGAUGGGGAAGCCAGCUUACUGGACAGAUACUGACGCUGAAGCGCGAAAGCGUGGGUAGCAAACAGG